rnacentral:ncRNA from 2 species
AGACUCUCGCGUGUUCAUGGUGACGAGCCCACAGGUGUGCGGUUCGUGAACAGGGAACUCCGGUGAAAUUCCGGGACGGUCCAGCCGCUGUGUUCCACCAGUGAUUUUAACCAAUCACAUCAUUCGCUCCUUCUAUGGAAGUGCCAUUGCCCGCCAACGGGUGAGAAGGCAGUGAGCGACUGAAAAGGUGGUGAGUCAGAAGACCUACCUUGAGCAAGACGUUUCG